AACGAACGCUGGCGGCAUGCCUAACACAUGCAAGUCGAACGAGACCAUCGGGUCUAGGGGCGCACGGGUGCGUAACGCGUGGGAACCUGCACUUAGGUUCGGAAUAACUCCCCGAAAGGGGUGCUAAUACCGGAUAAUGUCUUCGGACCAAAGAUUUAUCGACUUUGGAUGGGCCCGCGUUGGAUUAGCUAGUUGGUAGGGUAAAAGCCUACUAAGGCGACGAUCCAUAGCUGGUCUGAGAGGAUGAUCAGCAACACUGGGACUGGGACACGGCCCAGACUCCUACGAGAUGCAGCAGAGGGUAAUAGUGGACAAUGGGCGAAAGCCUGAUCCAGCUAUGCCGCGUGAGUGAUGAAGUCCUUAGAGUUGUAAAGCGCUUUUACCCGGGAUGAUAAUGACAGUACCGAGAGAAUAAGCCCCGGCUAACUCCGUG
rnacentral:rRNA from 1 species